AAGGUGCUUCUUCUUCAGACUCAGAAGGUGAAGGAUCUGUGUCGAAGUCUAGGUCCGGAGCCAUGCCACAGGCACAGAAGAAAACCAGCUCAGUUUCUUUGACGAUACACACAUCGUCACCAAAGAGCCCAGAGGCCCAACCUCAUCGCUCCACACUGGUCCAGACGCUUUCUACCACACCACAGAGAGUCCAGAGUCCAGUUUCUUCACUCUAUGCUGGUGAUGGUCCUGUUAAAGCACCCCCUAACAUUAC